GACGUAUCCAGAACACCUACUGCAGAGUCGGAGAGCAACGGCAACUCCCACAAGGACGAGAGUGUGACUAAAAAACAGAACAGAUGCUGAUGUCCUCAUCUACACGGCUACUUGACUUUUCUGGCUCCUAAACGAUCCUGACCCCCGGUUGAGGACCAGAUUCAUGUGAUGACGGAUAGACUUAUUGCUGCUCUUACACUGCCUCCUUGUGGCAGCUCCAAACAAUCACACCUCCAGCCUGCAGACAAACACAACAUACUGACACAAUGAUGGUCUUGUAUUAAACACGUUAGUGUGUGCAUUAUAAAAUUAUAAUUUUUAAAGUUAAAGAUGCACUUCUGCAUUAUUUAAAUGCAGAAGUGCAUCUUUAAUUUUUAAAACUUUAAAAUUCUAUUCUGUACAGAAGCCCUGAGAGAGAAGUGAAAAAAAAUAUUUUGUGCAAGGAUCAGUUUUUUUCUGUCUUUCUUCCCAGAAAAAAAAAAAAAAAAACUUGCCUCCUGGGAGUUGUUU